CACUAAGCCAGUGGUGAACUCCACAUACGCAUCCUUUGCUGAGGAUACGGUUAACGGAGCGAAAGCGACGUUCAACCGCAAAAGAAGCAGAGGGGGCUUAGUGGUGGGGUGACUGCGUACCUUUUGUAUAAUGGGUCAGCGACUUAUAUUCUGUAGCAAGGUUAACCGCAUAGGGGAGCCGGAGGGAAACCGAGUCUUAAUUGGGCGUUAAGUUGCAGGGUAUAGACCCGAAACCCGGUGAUCUAGCCAUGGGCAGGUUGAAGGUUGGGUAACACUAACUGGAGGACCGAACCGACUAAUGUUGAAAAAUUAGCGGAUGACCUGUGGCUGGGGGUGAAAGGCCAAUCAAACCGGGAGAUAGCUGGUUCUCCCCGAAAGCUAUUUAGGUAGCGCCUCGUGAAUUCAUCUCCGGGGGUAGAGCACUGUUUCGGCCAGGGGGCCAUCCCGGCUUACCAAUCCGAUGCAAACUGCGAAUACCGGAGAAUGUUAUCACGGGAGACACACGGCGGGUGCUAACGUCCGUCGUGAAGAGGGAAACAACCCAGACCGCCAGCUAAGGUCCCAAAGUCAUGGUUAAGUGGGAAACGAUGUGGGAAGGCCCAGACAGCCAGGAUGUUGGCUUAGAAGCAGCCAUCAUUUAAAGAAAGCGUAAUAGCUCACUGGUCGAGUCGGCCUGCGCGGAAGAUGUAACGGGGCUAAACCAUGCACCGAAGCUGCGGCAGCGACACUGAUGUGUUGUUGGGUAGGGGAGCGUUCUGUAAGCCGUUGAAGGUGUGUCGUGAGGCAUGCUGGAGGUAUCAGAAGUGCGAAUGCUGACAUAAGUAACGAUAAAGCGGGUGAAAAGCCCGCUCGCCGGAAGACCAAGGGUUCCUGUCCAACGUUAAUCGGGGCAGGGUGAGUCGACCCCUAAGGCGAGGCCGAAAGGCGUAGUCGAUGGGAAACGGGUUAAUAUUCCCGUACUUGGUGUUACUGCGAAGGGGGGACGGAGAAGGCUAUGUUGGCCGGGCGACGGUUGUCCCGGUUUAAGCGUGUAGGUGUGUGUUCCAGGUAAAUCCGGUU
rnacentral:rRNA from 1 species